rnacentral:rRNA from 1 species
UACGUAGGGUGCGAGCGUUAAUCGGAAUUACUGGGCGUAAAGCGUGCGCAGGCGGUUCGUUGUGUCGGCGGUGAAAGCCCCGGGCUCAACCUUGGAAUUGCCGUUGAAACUGGCGAACUGGAGUGUGGCAGAGGGGGGUGGAAUUCCGCGUGUAGCGGUGAAAUGCGUAGAGAUGCGGAGGAACACCGAUGGCGAAGGCAGCCCCCUGGGCUGACACUGACGCUCAGGCACGAAAGCGUGGGGAGCAAACAGG